GCCCCUGUAGUUCAAUGGAAGAACACAGCCUUGCGGAGGCUGAGAUCCAGGUUCAAAUCCUGGCAGGGGCA
rnacentral:tRNA from 1 species